GGUCUUGUAUUCAUUUUGUGAUUAUAGAAUGCAAUUCUGUAGGGGUGAGUUAAAGCUUAUCAAGGCCU
rnacentral:tRNA from 1 species